UGAUCACGAGAUGCCGGUGGAGACUUCCAAAGGGAUCGCAUUGAUCCAAAACCUUUUCAUUCUUCCGAUACAAUCGUAAGGAAAUCCAUAUUUACUUGCAUGUAUGCGUAUAUUAUGUAGGAUUGGAUCAUGCGAUCUCUUAGGAAUUCUCCUCCAGUACCUCUUUCUUCUAUCUACGACUCAGUCUCUCAGGUCAGCUUUCUUCUUCAUGUAACUUCUGAUGCAUGCAUAUUUUCUUUCAUGUCUCACAGGAUUGAGCGAAAAAAGGUAUCCGGAGGAACUGCUGAUUCAAUCAGUAUUGUAAUGCCUCACGCCCUAAUUAUCAUACGUAAUAGCAGAAAACUGAUAGAAAAUAGUGAUGAAAGUCAUGGCCAUGACUGAUGACAAGACCAAGAAGAAAACCAUAGAAGCUGCUGCUGAUAUUCUUGGAGUAGAUUCAAUGGCCGUUGAUAUGAAUGAGCAAACAUUGACAGUGAUCGGAGAGAUGGACACAGUGGCUGUCGUUAAGAAAGUGAAGAAAUCGGUGGGGCACGUUGAAAUUUUGUUCCUCGGGUCAGUCUAAUAAGGAUGUGAACAAGGAAGAAAAUAAAUGAAACAUGAAGAUUAGAAAUAAGAAAGAAAACCUGUGUUUCUUAAUUUGAGCAAGUUUGUGUUAAAUACAAUUAAUAAUAUGUCAUGCUUGUAAGUUUGUUAUCUUGAUUCUUGAGAACUAUUUGGAAAUGAAAACAUAACUUUAUUGAAAGACAAUAUAUAAUGGUAU